GGGGCUGUAGCUCAAUUGGGAGAGCGCCUGCUUUGCAAGCAGGAGGUCGUCGGUUCGAUUCCGUCCAGCUCCACCA
rnacentral:tRNA from 1 species